AUGGCGUCCUCCUCCUCGUCUCCACUGCUCCUGCUGCUGCUUCUCCCGCUCCUGCUCGCCAUGGCGCGCCCGUGCUCCGCCGUCGACGCCAUCGGCACCUACUGCGCCAAGAACGGCACCAGCGCGGAGACGCAGGCCAGCAUCGACCAGGUCCUCGCGGCCCUCGUCCCGCGCGCCUCGGCCGCCUACUACGCCACGGCCACCGCCGGCCGCUCCUCGUCCGCGGUCUGGGGCCUCGCGCAGUGCCGCGGCGACGUCCCGCGCCAGGACUGCUCGCUCUGCCUCGCCGCCGCGGCCAAGGAGGUCGCGUCGUCCUGCCGCGGCAGCUCGGACGGCCGGGUCUUCUACGACUACUGCCUCCUGCGGUACUCCACCUCCAACUUCAUCGGCCUCGCGGACACGGGGUACACGCUCAUCCUCCUCAACACCCAGAACGCCACCGGCGUCGACCUGGCCGCGUUCGACCGGGCGCAGGGGAAGCUCAUGUCCCGCGUCGCGUCGGAGGCCGGCGGCGCCCAGAACAAGGGGCUGGCGACGGACACGACGCGGCUAGGAAAUGACGGCGGCGGAGCCAAGACGACCAUCUACGGGCUCGGGUGGUGCACCAGGGACAUCACCGCGGCGGACUGCGGGCUGUGCGUGGCGCAGGCGGUGGCCGAGCUGCCCAACUACUGCCGGUACCGGCGCGGGUGCCGUGUGAUCUACAGCAGCUGCAUGGCGCGCUACGAGGUGUACCCCUUCUUCUUCCCGCUCGACAGCGCCGGCGAGUCGGCCGACGAGGUCGGACAGUGCGACAAGAUCGUCUUGAACUACCCGUGA
rnacentral:rRNA from 1 species